CAUAGAUUUGGUCCUGACCUUGAAAUCAGUUAUAUCUAAACUUACACAUGCAAGCAUCUACACACCGGUGAGAACGCCCUUUAUCCCACUUUGGGACAAGGAGCUGGUAUCAGGCACAAUAUUUAGCCCAAAACACCUAGCUAUGCCACACCCACAAGGGUAUUCAGCAGUGAUUAGCAUUAAAAAUAAACGCCAGUUUGAUUUAGUUAAUGAUAAUAGAGCCGGCUAAUCUGGUGCCAGCCGCCGCGGUUAAACCAGGUGCUCAAAUUGAUAUUUCACGGCGUAAAACGUGAUUAAAGAGAUACUUACUGGGGUUGAACUAAAACUAAAAAGUUUAACACUUGUUUUAAAAGAAACCCACACCCGAAAGUUACCCCAAACCAACAACUUGAAUUCACGACAGCUAGGACACAAACUGGGAUUAGAUACCCCACUAUGCCUAGCCGUAAACUUUAAUUUACACCACCAACUCGCCUGGGAACUACGAGCAGAGCUUAAAACCCCAAGGACUUGACGGUGCCCCACAUCCCCCUAGAGGAGCCUGUCCUAUAAUCGAUGAUCCGCGUUAAACCCUACCAUUUUUAGUUUUUCAGCCUGUAUACUUCCGUCUUCAGCUUUUCACGUGAGUGAAACAUAACAAGCUUAAUGGAACCCCCACCAAUACGUCAGGUCAAAGUGCAGCUAAUAAAUUGGGUAGAGAUGGGCUACACUUUCUAUCAUAGAAAACACGGAAAAUCACAUGAAACAUGAUUUGAAGGUGGAUUUAGUAGUAAAAAGAAACCAGAACGUUCUAUUUAACUCGGCUACUGGAGUGUGUACAUACCGCCCGUCACCCUCUUCAAAAAAAACACCAAAGUACAUAACAAAUUAACCCCCAACUAGAAGAGGCAAGUCGUAACAUGGUAAGUGUACCGGAAGGUGCACUUGGAGUAGA
rnacentral:ncRNA from 1 species